GACGAACGCUGGCGGCGUGCCUAAUACAUGCAAGUUGAGCGCUGAAGGUUGGUACUUGUACCGACUGGAUGAGCAGCGAACGGGUGAGUAACGCGUGGGGAAUCUGCCUUUGAGCGGGGGACAACAUUGGGAAACGAAUGCUAAUACCGCAUAAAAACUUUAAACACAAGUUUUAAGUUUGAAAGAUGCAAUUGCAUCACUCAAAGAGGAUCCCGCGUUGUAUUAGCUAGUUGGUGAGGUAAAGGCUCACCAAGGCGAUGAUACAUAGCCGACCUGAGAGGGUGAUCGGCCACAUUGGGACUGAGACCCGGCCCAAGCUCCUUCGGGAAGCAGCAGUAGGGAAUCUUCGGCCAUGGGCGAAAGUCUGACCGAGCAACGCCGCGUGAGUGAAGAAGGUUUUCGGAUCGUAAAACUCUGUUGGUAGAGAAGAACGUUGGUGAGAGUGGAAAGCUCAUCAAGUGACGGUAACUACCCAGAAAGGGACGGCUAACUACGUG
rnacentral:rRNA from 1 species